GCUUGCUGUCAAUAAAUAUGUGGGUAAAUCUCUGUUUGGGGCUCUCAGCUCUGAAGGCUGUGAGACCCGAUUUCCCACUCCACACUCUGUAUUUCUGUGUGAGUGUCUUUAAUUCCUCUGGCGCCGCUGGGUUAGGGUCUCCACGACUGAGCUGAUCUCAGUAUCUACCACAUUCUGCUUUAUUCUCUUCUCUAGGGUAAGAAAAAUCACAAUACAUGGGUAUUCAAUAAAAUUCAAUUAAUUUAAGCCUGACUCUUGAGAAUGUGCAAUUGAAGGUUAUGAAUGUGUCACACCUAAGGUGGUGGUAGAAGUCUCUGGCACAUGGAAAAUGCCUGUUUUAACUUUUAGCUAUUUUUUUCAGGUUUUUGUCAUUAGAAUAUUUCUUCUGUUUCUACUGCAAAUAACUAUCAAAAAGGAAAAGAACAACUAGGAUGGCCUCCCCUGUUUAUCAUUGGCCCUACAAUUUUCUAGGAGUAAUAUCUUUUUGGAAUUAUGUAAUGUCCUCUGCUAAUGACAGUGUAUAGAUGCUAUUACAUUUCCUUGGGGGACAAAGUACUGUUGUCUGGAAGCUUUGAGAUUAAUGUAACACAAAGUAAAUAAGGAAGCGUUUUGCAUAUUCUUAGAUUUUUACAUUUUUAUUUUAAAACAGAGAAUUUCAUAUUGAUUAACACCUACUACUAAACAGAAUGAUGCAUUAAUUAAAUGCCUUGUCCUAACUGUUAUAAGCUCUGUUAGAAAAAUAAACAUCUCACCACAAACUACAGUGUCAGCUCUUUAAUAAAUACAUAAAACAGAAGUUAGUAGUCAAUCAGAGUUAUAUGAACAGGUUCAUAGUAUAUUAUGUGAAAGUAUCAUAUUCUCCAAUAUUCUGUAUCAUUUAAGACAAUUUAAGUUACGUAUAAUUCAAAGCCAGAAAUAAUAAGAAAUAUGUUCAGUGAUAAUUUGCUUCUUUCUUAGAGCUAUUUUAUAUUCAAAUAUUUAAUUUAAAAAUAUAUUCUAUAUUAAAUUUAUUUUUACAAACGCAGUAUUCGUUAGGUGAAACAAAAUAAGUUUUUAUGUUACUGAUAAGUUUAAUACAUUUCUAAUUUUUUUCAGAAGUUCAAGAAACCAUAAUGAAGUAGCUAAUGUAAAAUAGUUUAAAAGCUAUGUUAAAUAUACACAAAAUGAAUUUCUAUAUUAAUAUGUGCAAAUGUAUAUUUUCUUAUAAUUUAGAAUUAAAGUACUUUAUACUCAAUAUUCUUAAUAAAAUUUAUGUACCAUACUUGUCAUUGCGUAGACUUCUUAUCAAAAUUUCACAUUUAUCUGUAGGAAAAUGUAAAGUUGGUAAAAAUUGUUUACACAAAUCACACAUUUUCCAUCCUUGACAAUUGCAGUGUUUUUUUUUUAAAUAUUGCUGUAUUAGACAAUUUUAACUGAAGUAGGUUGUAGAGGCUAGAAGAAACCUGAUUAAUAGAGUUAGCUUACAAAGAUAAAUUUUAUGCAGAAAAGUAUUCCAGGUAGAUAAAAGAGUAGUGUUAUUACUCUCAGGUUUACAUUAACAGCUGCCCAGAUAGCUGAACAAUUAUUUCAUAUAAUUCAAAUAAUUUAAAUUCAAGUGCUGGAAGACAGCAAAUCUUGGAAGUUUAUUAUAAAAAAAAAGAUAUUUCGGAUAGAUUCCUUUGUUGUCAUGGGCAAAACUGUAUAUCCACACAGGACUGUUAGACUCCUAGCCAAUAAAAUCAGACUAAGUCCAUAGGGAUAAGGUAAGUGUAAAUAAAUUUCCAUUGGGGAAGACAGGGCUCAUGGCCCGUGUAUCAAGGUCUCAAGCUGAGCACUGGAGAACUCCAGGGAACACUGUUCAUACAGGCUAUGGUGCGAAGGAAUUCCCCUGUAGGUAUGCCAUACUUCAGUCUCUUAAGAAGCUGAUUAGCAUGAAAGACUGGAAGCUGAUUAUGGACAAUUCAGUUUGAAUUAUUCCUUUCUAUUUUGCUUUGAACUUUCCUCAUACACUUAAGACAUGAGUAAAUCACAUUGAAAAACAUUUGCCAAUUGAAUAUUUUAAAGAUUCAAGAGGUAGCAUGAUAUUGUGCAAUGAACACUGGCCUGACAAUGAGAAGAUAAAAACUCCUUUCCAAUGUGGCCACUUUAUCACUUGAGUGUUUUCUGAGAAAUCGUUUAAGUUUUCUGAGGCUCAGUUCCCUAACUCACUAAAAAGGAGAAUUAGCAGCCUGGCAUGGUGGCUCAUGCCUGUAAUCCCAACACUCUGGGAGGCCGAGGAGGGUAGAUCACCUGAGGUCAGGAGUUUGAGAUCAACCUGUCCAACAUGGCAAAACCCCGUCUCUACUAAAAAUACAAAAAUUAGCUGGGCACGGUGGUGGAUGCCUGUAAUCCCAGCUACUCAGGAGGCUGAGGCAGGAGAACUGCUUGAACCCGGGAGGCAGAGGUUGCAGUGAACCCUAAUUGCGCCAUUGCACUUCAGCCUGGGUGACAAGAGUGAAACUCCGUCUCAAAAAAAAAAAAAAAAAAAAAAAAAGCUUAUUUCUAAGAUAUCAUCUAUUCUCCAAUUUUGUACUUUUAUGAAUUCUGGCAAGAAGGGUUGGAGUGAUUCUGGGAAAGAACAUCCUUAGGCUGCCUUGAAGGGAGAAGAUAAUAUAGCUUUUCAUUUAAAAAAUGCUGAUAUCUACUUGCAAUCAAAAUCUAAGAAAACAUUCAAAAUGUGGUACUUUGCUUGAGGCAGAAUUUCUAACUAUCUUGUGAAUUAAUGAUAAGAUAAAUGAAAUGGCCAAACAAUCCCUUCAGUUUACCAGGUAAGAGGAUACAAAACUCCACACUUGUGCACAAUGAAGCUAUUCAGGUUUUGAUGAUACUUUACAGUGUCCCCUAUUAACAUUCAGCUUUUAAAACUAGUAUUCUGAUAAAGUGACAUUGUAUUAUUAGUUUUUUAUGGCAGUAGUAACUUAGCACUUAAUUAAUCCAGUCAUCUGUGACAUACAUAAACUUAUCCUGUAAAAAAGA
rnacentral:lncRNA from 10 species